GACGAACGCUGGCGGCGUGCUUAACACAUGCCAGUCGGACGGAAAGGCCCUGCUUGCCGGGUGCUCGAGUGGCGAACGGGUGAGUAACACGUGGGUGAUCUGCCCCUUACUUUGGGAUAAGCCUGGGAAACUGGGUCUAAUACUGGAUAGGACCAUGCUGUAGGUGGUGUGGUGGAAAGAUUAGUUUCGGUAAGGGAUGAGCUCGCGGCCUAUCAGCUUGUUGGUGGGGAAAUGGCCUACCAAGGCGUCGACGGGUAGCCGGCCUGAGAGGGUGGACGGCACCAUUGGGACUGAGAUACGGCCCAGAAGCCUACGGGAGGCAGCAGUGGGGAAUAGUGCACAAUGGGCGCAAGCCGGAUGCAGCGACGCCGCGUGGGGGAUGACGGCCUUCGGGUUGUAAACUCCUUUCAGCCAUGACGAAGCCCUUGUGGUGACGGUAGUGGUAGAAGAAGCACCGGCUAACUACGUG
rnacentral:rRNA from 1 species